GACAACCGGGCAGAGUAAAUAAAGACAGUAUGGUGCAAGGCUCAAUAUGUAACGAGUAAACAAUAUGAAUAGACGAUGUAAAAGAUAGGGUAAAGGAAGACAUCACCGAGCGUGCACCACUGUACCGACUUCGGAUCGAAGUACCCACCUGUAUAAAGCUGAAACGGUCUCGCGAAGGCGGAGACGAAGCGACCGGACCUACGAAGGGUCCACCGGGUUAGAGUCUAACCCACAAACACAAUAACACGACCAUUCUCACACAAAUCCCAAAAUCAAAACCCCUCGGAACUCGGUUUCUCAAACGCAACUACCGAACCAGCCGGAAAUCCCGGAAACCGUACCGAAACUCCACCGUCGCUCACCCGUCGUUUCCGAACCCUCGAGAAGACGCGGGUGACCAGCCAACAAGGCUCAGCGACGCUACAAUCAACCACGAGGCACCGUCGGAU
rnacentral:lncRNA from 1 species